GAUGAACGCUGGCGGCGUGCCUAAUACAUGCAAGUCGAGCGAGAAGCAAGAAGAUGAAACUUCGGUAGAUUCAUCUUGCGGACAGCGGCGGACGGGUGAGUAACGCGUAGGCAACCUGCCUCUCACAGAGGGAUAGCCAUUGGAAACGAUGAUUAAAACCUCAUAAUAUCGUAGCAACACAUGUUGUAACGGUCAAAGAUUUAUCGGUGAGAGAUGGGCCUGCGUCUGAUUAGCUAGUUGGUGAGGUAACGGCUCACCAAGGUGACGAUCAGUAGCCGACCUGAGAGGGUGAUCGGCCACAUUGGAACUGAGACACGGUCCAAACUUCUACGGAAGGCAGCAGUAGGGAAUCUUGCACAAUGGACGAAAGUCUGAUGCAGCAACGCCGCGUGAAGGAUGACGGCCUCGGUUGUAACGUUCUGUUCUUGGGUAGAACGAAAUAGACGGUACCAACGGAGCAAGACCCGCGUACUACGUCGCACG
rnacentral:rRNA from 1 species